AUGACCUGAGCUGAAGGCAGACACUUAACCGACCGAACCACCCAGGCGUCCACACAAUGCUAAAUCCAAUGAUGCCAAAGAAAGAAAAGAAGUACAGAAAUUACAUCAUUUUAUCACAUCUUUGGAAACUCUUUGGUACGAGGUAACAGAUCAGUAAGGAUUUUAAGAGAAAUAUCUCUGCCACCUCCAGAAAAUUUUGUGCAGAAGGAAAGAAAAUACCAGAAGGCAAAUGCAGAAGGAGUUAUUGAAGAAAAUCAAGAGACAGCUAAACUAGAGAAAAGAGAAGAAAGAUGGAAUAAUUUGUCCCUAUAUUUUGAAAAAUAAAUUAAAGAAAAUCAUAGUUCUGGAAUAAAAAGACUAGAAGAUUUUCUCCAGACAUGCUCUGUUAAAUCUACAAAAUUUACUGCAGAAGUGGUAGGAUCGGAUGCCUGCUUCAAAUUAUGGAUAGAACACUGUUCAAAACCAGGUAUAUAAGUAUGUUAAUUUUAGAAAUGUUUUUGAAAUAAAAGGUCAAAAGAAUUGGUACUGGCCACAUCAUUCUCAUUCAUCAGUCUUGUAUGACUUUGGGAAACUUUUUGAUGUCUAAAGAAUAAGAUUUUCUCUUGUUUAAUCCAAUAAUAACAGCAUGGCUAUUUGUGUAUAAGUGUUGGUGGAUGGAUUCAGCUUGAAAUUCAAUUCAGGAAACAGUUCUUCAAGAUCAAUCAUGAGCUGAGUAUCUUGUUAAGUGACCAUGGGGCUUCUGAAGAGAAGAGCACUUGCUCUGCUCUGAAGGUGGUUCAUGAUCAGUCUCUCAAGGGACUCAGGCACAUGCUUAACUAACCACAAUGUAAUGCAGUAA